rnacentral:rRNA from 1 species
GACGAACGCUGGCGGCGUGCUUAACACAUGCAAGUCGAACGGAAAGACCCUGCUUGUGUGGGGUGCUCGAGUGGCGAACGUGUGAGUAACACGUGAGUAACCUGCCCUGUACUUGGUGAUAACUUCAGGAAACUGGGGCUAAUACCGGAGAGGAGCUCCUGCUGCAUGGGGGUGGUUGGAAAGUUUCGGCGGUUGGGGAUGUACUCCCGGCUUAUCAGCUUGUGGGUGGGGUAGUGGCUUACCAAGGCUUUGACGGGUAGCCGGCCUGGGAGGGUGACCGGCCACAUUGGGACUGAGAUACGGACCAGACUCCUACGGGAGGCAGCAGUGGGGAAUAUUGCACAAUGGGCGGAAGCCUGAUGAAGCAACGCCGCGUGCGGGAUGAAGGCCUUCGGGUUGUAAACCGCUUUCGCCUGUGACGAAGCGUGAGUGACGGUAAUGGGUAAAGAAGCACCGGCUAACUACGUG